GUGAAUCAUCGAAUUUUUGGACGCAAAUUGCACUCUCUUCGGAGACUAUGCCUGUUUGAGGGUCAGCCUAAAAAAAUCGACAUCGUUGCUGGUUCGCGGUGGCGUUCGUCGGUAAUUGGGUUAUCUUAAAGCUUUGUUUUAAGCGACUGAAAAUUUUCUUUACGAUUUCAUGAACGUGUCCCAUAGUAAUUUAUUUACACGGGUAAGUGAU
rnacentral:misc_RNA from 1 species